rnacentral:rRNA from 1 species
AGAGAGAGACAUGCGCGCAUAUCAAUAAGCGGAGGAAAAGUAACUAACUAGGAUUCCCUCAGUAACGGCGAGUGAAGCGGGAAGAGCUCAAAUUUGAAAUCUUCAAGGUUCUACCUUGACGAAUUGUAGUUUAAAGAAGUGUUUUCUGUUGGAGUUUUGGUAAAAGUUCUUUGGAAUAGGACAUCAUAGAGGGUGAGAAUCCCGUAUUUGACCAUUAUUUCCAGCUUUGUGAUACACUUUCAAAGAGUCGGAUUGUUUGGGAAUGCAGUCCAAAAUGGGUGGUAAAUUUCAUCUAAAGCUAAAUAUUGGCGAGAGACCGAUAGCGAACAAGUACCGUGAGGGAAAGAUGAAAAGAACUUUGAAAAGAGAGUUAAACAGUACGUGAAAUUGUCAAAAGGGAAGCGUGUGACACCAGUGUUGUUUUCUCGAAAAUCAAUUAAAAAGAGUUAGAUUUUGUUGUGUAUUGACCUUAUCAGCUUUGCACUUCAUUUUCUUGUCUUUUUUAAUGCACUUUUCGUUUAACAAGUCAACAUCAAUUUCUUUUGUUGUAAAAGGGUCAUUGGAAGGUGGCUUUCUUUUCGGAGAAAGUGUUUAUAGCCUUUGGCCUCUGCAAUCGGAGAGAUUGAGGUCUGCAGCGUAGAUCCUUCGGGGUUAGAUACAUUUGUGCUAAGUUAUAGCCUUUCAUAGACAACUUGUUGACUAUGAUCAGUCAUGUAGCUUACUCGCUUAUGCUAUUUUACCUACGCUUAGGAUGUUGAUGUGAUACUGCGAGC